rnacentral:lncRNA from 1 species
CAUCGUCCAAAUGUUCAUUGUACAUACGAGGAACAGCUGGCCAGUUGCUGGUGACCAAGGUUCCUCAGAUCACCACCUAAUAGGAAAACCAUGCGCAUUUUAAAGAGCUGCACUUUUGUUCUUAUCAUCCUAGUGAAAAAGAAAACGCAGUUUGUCACUGCGACUUGUACGAAGAUCUGCUUAUUGGAGAGGAUCAAGUAGGAUGAUCACCAUAUCACUUAUAAUAUCACAUCACGUUAUCGUCACCAAAAGAAUAAAACGUUAAAACACUUACCGAACCCCCCAGGAGUUCUUUCUAGUGGCUUAUUCAAGUCCCAUAACACAACUGCAAGGAGCUUUGAUCAUAAGGUUCCCAAGACAGGUUGUUCACGUAAAAUGAUUUCCUCUACAGAAAUCCAUCCGGAAGUUUCAUGAGGCCCUUCCUAAACUUGCUCAGCAAUCAUUGAAGCCAAGGGCAGAAGCCCCUCAAGAUCUCACCUUCAAAAAAGCCGCAAGAAAGAGAGCGCCGCUCAGCUUUACUACUGCUCCCAGCUUCUCAAAAAAUAUCGCAGUUGAUGAGAUACAUAUCUCCUUCGCUUUUUCCCUUCAAAAUGAGAAGCUAAACGAUGCCUCAAGGAUGACUGACAAGUACCCAGAGGCCAGUGCCAACAGAGUGUGUCUUCUUUGUUCCAAAGUUCCAUUAUUCGGCCACAUUGUGCAAGUCUGGGAUUGAAGGUGAAGAAUAUCAUGCCAGACUGAAGUAAGUGCCUAAAAUCAAUUUCUGUAAGUACAGAGAGUAUCACACACUAGGAGGUUUGUUCCAAGUUGAGAAUCCUACCUCAGACCCUUACCAAAACCCUGUCACAUGCCAGACUAACCAGGCGACUGGCCACAGUCUGGUGUCCACGGACAUGCAACUAGAUGAAUGAAAUGUGAAAACCUGGAUCAAAUUCAAGAUCGAAUGACAAAACUCACCGCCUUAUUGGCGCCUCCAGCAGCAGCAGAGAGAUGAGAAGAAUCACAGGCGCCAAUGGCCAUGUAAACCUAAUCUCUGUGAUCG